CUACGUGCCAGCAGCCGCGGUAAUACGUAGGGUGCGAGCGUUAAUCGGAAUUACUGGGCGUAAAGCGUGCGCAGGCGGUUUGUUAAGACCGAUGUGAAAUCCCCGGGCUCAACCUGGGAACUGCAUUGGUGACUGGCAAGCUAGAGUAUGGCAGAGGGGGGUAGAAUUCCACGUGUAGCAGUGAAAUGCGUAGAGAUGUGGAGGAAUACCGAUGGCGAAGGCAGCCCCCUGGGCCAAUACUGACGCUCAUGCACGAAAGCGUGGGGAGCAAACAGGAUUAGAUACCCUGGUAGUCCACGCCCUAAACGAUGUCAACUAGUUGUUGGGGAUUCAUUUCCUUAGUAACGUAGCUAACGCGUGAAGUUGACCGCCUGGGGAGUACGGUCGCAAGAUUAAAACUCAAAGGAAUUGACGGGGACCCGCACAAGCGGUGGAUGAUGUGGAUUAAUUCGAUGCAACGCGAAAAACCUUACCUACCCUUGACA
rnacentral:rRNA from 1 species